GGAGGGUGCAAACGUUGCUCGGAAUUACUGGGCGUAAAGCGCGUGCAGGCGGUCUGACAAGUCUCGUGUGAAAGCCCUGGGCUCAACCCAGGAAGUGCACGGGAAACUGGCAGACUAGAGUGCGGGAGAAGAGGGCGGAAUUCCCGGUGUAGAGGUGAAAUUCGUAGAUAUCGGGAGGAACACCAGUGGCGAAGGCGGCUCUCUAGACCGACACUGACGCUCAGACGCGAAAGCGUGGGUAGCAAACAGGGAUUAGAUACCCUGGUAGUCCACGCCGUAAACGAUGGAUACUAGAUGUUGGGGGCUUGACCCCCCUUCAGCGUCGCAGCUAACGCAUUAAGUAUCCCCGCCUGGGGAGUACGGUCGCAAGACUA
rnacentral:rRNA from 1 species